rnacentral:rRNA from 1 species
UACGUAGGGUGCGAGCGUUGUCCGGAAUUACUGGGCGUAAAGAGCUCGUAGGUGGUUUGUCGCGUUGUUCGUGAAAACUCACAGCUUAACUGUGGGCGUGCGGGCGAUACGGGCAGACUGGAGUACUGCAGGGGAGACUGGAAUUCCUGGUGUAGCAGUGAAAUGCGUAGAUAUCAGGAGGAACACCGAUGGCGAAGGCAGGUCUCUGGGCUGACACUGACGCUCAUGCACGAAAGCGUGGGGAGCAAACAGG